rnacentral:rRNA from 1 species
GACGAACGCUGGCGGCGUGCUUAACACAUGCAAGUCGAACGAGAGGACAAGAGAAGCUUGCUUCUUUUGGAAUCGAGUGGCAAACGGGUGAGUAACACGUAAACAACCUGCCUUCAGGAUGGGGACAACAGACGGAAACGACUGCUAAUACCGAAUACGCUUGGGAGACCGCAUGAUCUUCCAAGGAAAGGGUGGCCCUCUAACUUGUAAGCUAUCGCCUGAAGAGGGGUUUUGCGUCUGAUUAGGCAGUUGGUGAGGUAACGGCCCACCAAACCUACGAUCAGUAGCCGGUCUGAGAGGAUGAACGGCCACACUGGAACUGAGACACGGUCCAGACUCCUACGGGA